CCCACACCGUGUGGGCUGCUUGCAGAGAAACCAGAAGCAGAAGCAGACACAGACCUCGUCGCCUCCAGAUCGACGGCGACGACGGCGGCGGGGGCGGGUGCCACCGCCAACGCCGAGGCAGAGAGCGGCAAUGGCGAUGAGCCGCGCCCACCCGUCUGCAUGGGGAAGGAGGCGGCGGCGGAGGAGGGGGAGGAGAUCCGCAUCCGCUCCAGCUUGACCAGGCAAGCUUUCCUCGACGCCCUCCCCUCCCAUCCCCUCCGCCGCCAUGCGUGUCGGAUCGAACUGCUUCUCCAUGGCCAUGAUCCAAAUCAGAUCCAAGGUACACGUGCAACGACUUGACUUGGAGGCAGCU
rnacentral:lncRNA from 1 species